rnacentral:lncRNA from 1 species
AAGAAAGUAUAUUAAUUCGAAAAACAAUGAGAAUUUGAUCGAAUGGGAAGAAGGACUUGUUGAUUGGCUAGCAUUUGAAGUGGCAUGUGUAAAUCAUCUUGAAUUUUUUUUUUUUUUUUUUUUUUUUGCAUUUGUUUUAAAUUUGCCCCUAGAAAAUUAACAUUAUGGUUUAUCACAUUGUGGAAAUAUAUUUACUUGGCGUUAUGUGUAUCGAAAUGUAGUAGAUUUUAAUUUGGAUAGGACGGAAACUGAACACUGUAGCUGCCUUUCGAGGCUAAAGCACUAAUAAAUUAUGUACAUGCUCUGCAGUUUUUGAUUGAAGUCGAAUAUAGGCUGCAUAUCACAGUUUAACGAUUGAUCUUGACCGGCGGAGCUUUAGGAAGCCUAAUCUUUACAGCUAAUCUACUCAUUCGUCACAACAAGGUAAUUGCUAAUUUGUUAUUCUUGAAGUUGUAGUAUCCUUUAAUAUGUUACUGUGACUAGUCUUGCCGUAGUUUUGCUAGAAAUAUAAAGUUCUUCAAAAACAGUAAAUUUCAGAUUCGCUGUUCUUGAAAAUAUCUGUUAGCAAAUAAAUGAGGCAGAGGUUGUGAAUGACUGAAUCUUUCAAUCCUUUUGACCUUGGUUCCAUAGGAUCGGAGCAUGUCAGAAAGAUUGAGAAGAAUAACCCUCAGAUUGAUUUGUUCUCAAUAGCCAUUAUUAUAUGAUCAUCUUAGGGUGACCCCUUUGUUGACGAAUGCUCCUAAUUACGCUCGUAGUCUCUCACGGAUAGUAACCAAGUAUGUAGUAGCCUCUACAUUAAUAAUUAAAGUAUUGUAUACAUCAUUAGUCCAAUCCUUUGUAGGUACAACCCGUAAUAACGACUACGAGCAUCCAAAAGGAUAUGCUUAUUAUCAAGAGAUUCAAUGUUCCUGACCUGCUUCACACUAAUUGUUAUUUAAACAAAAAGAUCAUAAUAGAAUCUUCUGGUAAAAGGGAUGUGUCCUCAUCUAACAAUCAGUUUACACUGAUUAUUGUACACACUUUCAGAAUUUACAUACUAAAAGUAACAAAUCUUUGUGUGGUGUUUCUGUUGUAGUUCUUUUAAUAAAAAAAACUGCACACAACAACUUAACCUAGAGAAGAAGAAAUGUGAGUCUGUCAAGAUCAAUCGUUAAAAUGUGAUAUGCUUUACUCAUUAACACGAACCGAGGUUCAGAAAUAGAAAUUAUUAACCAUGGUUAGCUGAGAAAGUCAGAACAUGUUGGCCAGAUUACAGAGUGCACGAAGACCUCUUUCGUACACUCGAGAAGUAAGUUAGAAUAAUAAAUAUAGAAGGCGGGAAGGAAAGGAGGGAACAAAGAGAAUGUUAAAACACUAGAAUCAAUUGCAACACUUGCUUGGAUAAAAUGUAAAUAAAGACACUGUUGAUUGGGGUAAAGAAAUUUAGCAUAUAGAAAUUAAAAACAUUGUUGUCAUUAAUUUUGUUUUAUUUAUGAAAUUAAGAUUAGUGUGAUUCUGUUUAUUUAAAUAAUAACAAUCUCUGUUUUAUUCCUUUUCAUGUAAGUGUAUAUAUGUCAGACAUUAGGUAUCAAAAUGUAGGAUUCUGUAGCUUGUAUCUUAAUGGAGUUUCGUUAAGGCUGUUAAUCUGUUAUGUAAAAAAUUACAUCUUAACCAAAUUCUAGAGUAGAGCCCAAAUAGAUUAAUAUCAAGAUUGAUCAAUAGUCUUCACCAUCAGUCGAUUGAUUAUCAAGAUAAGAACAAAAUAUGUCACACAAAUAUACCUUUUAUGAAUUUAGGCAAUUCAAUAAGCAAUACGAAGAAACGUUCACACAUCACAUAAGAAUCUAAACUAUACCACUCUUACAAAUUAUGUUGAACCUAAGAAGAAUCAGAAACUUUUUUAUUGGAUUAUUUGGUCAUAGUAGCCUAUGAUGGAUUGUAACUUGUAGGAAUUACAUACAAGUUUUCUUUUCGUCUGACUACCAUGCUGAAUUCCUCGGUCAUGUCAAGCUCAUCUGGCUUCACCCCAUUCGCAAACUUCCAGUCGAAGUGGUAUAGUAAUAAAGCAAGUGGAAGCUCAACAUUGGCAAUUCCAAACAAUAUUCCGGGACAUAUCCUCCUACCAGCCCCAAAUGGGAUGUAUUUGAAGUUAGUUCCUCUAUAAUCAAUGGAUAGAUCUUGGAACCUCUCUGGCUCAAAGCUCUCAGGAUCUUUCCAGUUUCCGGAUCUCUUCCCAUCGCCCAUGCAUUGACCAGAACCUUGCUUCCCUUAGGUAUCUCAUACCCUUCCAUUUCACACCUCUCCCUACAUUCUCUUGGGACAAGCAAUGGAGUAGGCGGAUGUAGUCUUAGAGAUUCUUUGAUAACUAACCUCAAGUAGUUCAAUUUGUCGAUAUCUGCUUGAUCGAUCUUCUUUUUCCCACUAAAUAUCUGUCUCACCUCUGCUUGUGCCUUCUCCAUAACUCUUGGGUUUCUUAGCAAUUCGGUAAAUAUCCAUUCUAUUACGGUUGAUGAAGUAUCUGUCCCUGCAAUGAACAUGUCCUGCAAAAAAAUUAACUAAUUAGAGUCAAGAGACAAAAUAUUGUACGGAGUACAGUCUAUUUAAACUUGAAAGUUUGAUUCACUAAGUAAAAUAUGGUGAACUGAAUAAAUCCUUGUAAAUACUUACAAAAGUUACAGCUUUGACAUUAUCCAUUGUGAUUGGGAAUUCAAGUUCCCCACCCUCUUGAAUCCUUAGAAGCACAUCCACUAGAUCCUCUUCAACUUCAUCCUCAAUAGUUUCAGAGUAUAUCUUAUUCUCUUUGUGUUCUCUGAUGAUGUUAUCAAGUAUCUUGUCGACUUUUUGAUGUAUCAUCUCCAUUUUCGAUUUGAUUCCACUCAUCGUUUCCAAAACUUUCAAAAAGGAAAUAAAUCAGCAAUCGAAAAACCCGCAGACAAUCUUAUUAUGUCGUCUGUUACUGAAAGGAAUGCUUCCUUAUCUUUGCAUGUCUUACCAAAGGCUGCCCGUGCAGUUAUGUCGUUUAUUAAUGUAAAAAUCUUCUCACUCAGAUUCAUCUUGGAGCCAGCUGCCAAGGAAAUCCUUUUAACAAGAUCUGAGGCCUCUUUUUCCCUUACUGACCAGAAUGACUGGACUCUUUUUGCGCUUAAGAGUUCUAAGAUACAAAUCUUCCUUAAUUGCCUCCAAUAUUCGCCAUAGGGUGUCAUUAUAACACCUUUGUGCUCAUAACUCAUAAUCUUUGACACUAUGUUGGUAGGUCUGUCUACAAACACGAGGUCAUGUGUUUUCAUCAUUUGUUUAGUGACACCAGGAGAAGAAAUUACUACAGCUGAAAUCUCCCCAAGUUUAAGAUACAUGAUAGGUCCAUGUAUCUUAGCUAGAUCUUUGAGUUUGUGAUGGGGCUGGCCUAGUAAGUGGUGUAAAUGUCCUAUAACUGGUAGUUUGAAUGGCCCAGGUGGUAAUGGUGAGCUUGAAUGUGUUCUUGUGGAUUUCUUACUGAUCUUCACCAACAUGAGCAAGAAGAGGAUGAAAGUCAAGAUGAAGGGAAAGGUAGUGAGUUGCUGUAGCUCCAUUCUUGAAAUGUUUGGUUAAAGGUUCCCGUACCACUUCUCUUAACUUCUAUCGUAUAUAUUACUCUUAAUCAUGAGGGACUUGAACCGUUGACCUUGGAUUAUAUUAAUAAAAGAAUCUUUGUUAAAUAAUCUACAUCUCUAUCAUUAUCAUUAUCAUUAUUAAAAGACCGAAGGUUUAAAUUGCUUCAGAAGCAUAUGUGAGUUUAUUGGCUAGUGUACGUCUUUGUGACUGACUAAGUCAUCGUCCGAAACAUGAGAAGAUGCAAGUUUUAAAAUUGUUUUGGUAGUUUGUUGGAAGCAUGAUGUGAAAUAAUAUUCUAAACAGUUCAUAGAUUAUUAUUGUAUUUCUUUCACUUGUCACCCAAGUUUUAUUUACAUUAUUAGUCUAUUAUUGUUAACAAAUUUAAAAUAAGUCAGUCAACUGUUGGUUAGAUCCUAAAAUAAAAAGUGAUAUCAUCCUAAUUACUAUAUAAAACUAUAUAGUAAUUGACGAAAAAAUUAUAUUCUUCAGAACAGAAAUCAUAUUAUGUAUGAUGUAUCACAACCACAACAGGCUUUUAGAGUACAUCCUGUUCGAAACCACAGGCACACAUCACCCAUAAAAUUUUCCUCUUGAAUGGGAAGACUUCAUACACCACAAUAAUCCUUGAUGGAGGAAACUUAUUUAGAGCUUUUCCUUUGCCCAAGAACCUACAAAGUGAUCAAAGGACUUAUAGCUAGAGUAAGGGGCUAUUUUCAUCGAACUAUGCCCUUCCUGAAAUGAAACAAUGUCAUUGUGUAUCUUAUACUAAGGUCAGUUAGCAGAACUUGAUUAGGACAUUGUUAUCUACUAUUGCUCCAUGCCUUAACUAGGAACAAAAUGCUGUCAAUCAAUAGUCCAUCUCUCCAUCUUUGUAUGGUUGUUAAACUUGUGUCUGUAUGCACAGUCUCAUUCAUUGUUGGUGCCCUGUUUCUGUUGACUCAUUAUAAAAUUUUGUUAAGUGUUGAAUGGACAAAAAAGAAACAUACAUAGUAGCUUUCCACACCAAAGCUCUUGAAACUAUUCUCUUGGCUAUUUAAUUUGUUUUAUCUUGGCUAAUGGUCUUAUGUUGGAAUGUAUAGUUUCACUAAAUCAAGAAAGAUAGAGGAGAAUGCUGCCUGUACAGAUAAACUAUUGCUAUGAAGUGAUUUCCAAAACUCAAAGCUGAAGUGUGGUAUUGCAGAUAGUGAAGUUUGGUCAGGGAACUAUGUUGAGAGGUAGCAACUCAUGGUAAACAACUGACUGCACGCAUUGAUUAGAUUCAGAUAGUUGCCUCAAAUUGUUACUUCCCUUCAGAAUUGUUUGCAAUCUGCCUACUUGUGUGUUAGAUUUCCAAGGUGCAUGUAGUUCCGGACUUGCACAGCAAACGUCAAAACUCAUAAGUACAAAGCACAGACAGUCAGACAAAUAGAAGGCAGGAAGGAAAAGUGGCGAAACGGGAGAUCAAAGAGAAAGUUAAAAUCAUAGACGAA